GUGAAUCAUCAAAUCUUUGAACGCAAAUUGCGCUUUCUAGUAUUCCGGGAAGUAUGCCUGUUUGAGGGUCAGUUUUAACCAAAAAUCGGUUUGGUUGCAAAUUGUGUUGUUUCUGGCGUUUGGGCUUAUCUUCAUUAUUUUGGUUAAGGGGCUUAAAAUUGACUUUUGUUGCGCAUUUUUAUACGUACAUAUAUUUUUUUUUUAUUCGUCUAUUCUUAAUG
rnacentral:misc_RNA from 1 species